GGGCCUUGGUAGCGCAGCUAACGCGUGAAGUUGACCGCCUGGGGAGUACGGUCGCAAGAUUAAAACUCAAAGGAAUUGACGGGGACCCGCACAAGCGGNGGAUGAUGUGGAUUAAUUCGAUGCAACGCGAAAAACCUUACCUACCCUUGACAUGUCUGGAAUGCCGAAGAGAUUUGGCAGUGCUCGCAAGAGAACCGGAACACAGGUGCUGCAUGGCUGUCGUCAGCUCGUGUCGUGAGAUGUUGGGUUAAGUCCCGCAACGAGCGCAACCCUUGUCAUUAGUUGCUACGAAAGGGCACUCUAAUGAGACUGCCGGUGACAAACCGGAGGAAGGUGGGGAUGACGUCAAGUCCUCAUGGCCCUUAUGGGUAGGGCUUCACACGUCAUACAAUGGUCGGGACAGAGGGUCGCCAACCCGCGAGGGGGAGCCAAUCCCAGAAACCCGAUCGUAGUCCGGAUCGCAGUCUGCAACUCGACUGCGUGAAGUCGGAAUCGCUAGUAAUCGCGGAUCAGCAUGUCGCGGUGAAUACGUUC
rnacentral:rRNA from 1 species